UACGGGGGGGGCAAGCGUUGUUCGGAAUUACUGGGCGUAAAGGGUUCGUAGGUGGCUUGUUAAGUCAGACGUGAAAUCCCUCGGCUCAACCGGGGAACUGCGUCUGAGACUGAUGAGCUCGAGUGCAGGAGAGGAACGCGGAAUUCCAGGUGUAGCGGUGAAAUGCGUAGAUAUCGGGAGGAACACCUGUGGCGAAAGCGGCUCACUGGACCACAACUGACGCUGAGGCGCGAAAGCUAGGGGAGCAAACAGG
rnacentral:rRNA from 1 species